AUUGAACGCUGGCGGCAGGCUUAACACAUGCAAGUCGAGCGGAGAUGAGGUGCUUGCACCUUAUCUUAGCGGUGGACGGGUGAGUAAUGCUUAGGAAUCUGCCUAUUAGUGGGGGACGACAUUCCGAAAGGAAUGCUAAUACCGCAUACGUCCUACGGGAGAAAGCAGGGGAUCUUCGGACCUUGCGCUAAUAGAUGAGCCUAAGUCGGAUUAGCUAGUUGGUGGGGUAAAGGCCUACCAAGGCGACGAUCUGUAGCGGGUCUGAGAGGAUGAUCCGCCACACUGGGACUGAGACACGGCCCAGACUCCUACGGGAGGCAACAGUGGGGAAUAUUGGACAAUGGGGGGAACCCUGAUCCAGCCAUGCCGCGUGUGUGAAGAAGGCCUUAUGGUUGUAAAGCACUUUAAGCGAGGAGGAGGCUACUGAGACUAAUACUCUUGGAUAGUGGACGUUACUCGCAGAAUAAGCACCGGCUAACUCUGUGCCAGCCGCCGCGGUAACAC
rnacentral:rRNA from 1 species